AUGGCUGCCAGCUCAGAGGCUUUUCCCCAAAAUGGCUGCCAUUCCAGAGUCUCGUCACGUCACAGCUAUCAUCUCAGAGUCAAGUCACAGCCGAUCUUCCUAAGUCACGUCACGUCUCAGCUGAUCUCCCAGAGCCAUGUUAUGUCUCGGCUGCUCAUCCAGAGUUGUGUCACAUCGCAAUUGAUCAUCCAGAGUCUUCUCACGCCAGGUCAACCAUUACCAUUGCUACAAGCAGCUUCAAAGAAGACGGAGAAACCCAGAGUCUUGUGCCCUGCAUUUAUCAGUAUCCUUAUGUUCUUUGGGUGAAAAAGAAAAACUCAAUAAACAAAGUAAAAAAUAAUUUGAUAUCUUUUUCCAAUCAAGGUUUCUAUAGAUAUCACGAUAUUAACCGUGAUAUGAAAAACCUACUAUCAUGACAGACCUAUUCCGUACAUAUGACGUUUUAGCGCCGAUAAAUAAAUAAUUCCAGGUCGAAUAUAAACUACAUAUCUGUGUCCUCUUAAUUUCUCCUCCUUUCUCACAACUCUAACAAUUUUAGGUGUACUUAGCAGGUCUAUUGAUUUGUUAGGGUAUAUGUAUAGGCUUUCCCCUUCAUAGGUAUGCAAAAACUUGAUUUCAAAACAGUAUCAUAGCUAUUAAACGAUCUUGUUGUGUUUUUAAAUAUGUAUUUAAUCUCAGAACAAUCUCAGAGCAAAUUGGAUUUUGUGAUGGUUGUGCUUUAAAAUUAAAUUAUUACCAUCCUAAUUUAAGUGAUGAAGGAUUUUGAAAGUCUGACAGUCAUUAGCUGUUGAGUCCUACUGUAAUGUUAACCCUGGCCGGUUUACAUGUUUCAAAAGAUUAACGGUUGAAAACAUUACAUAGAAAAGUCUUAAAACAUGUAAUCAAAUGUAAUCAGUUACAUUACUUUUUAAAGAAGUUGAAAUAGUUGCACUACCUUUUAGAUUUGAAAUAGGGUAACUUGUAAUCUAUAACCUAUUACAAUCCCGCAGUAACCUUCCCAAAACUGUGCGUAAAAUAAUUCCAUCAGGUUCUCAGCUACAGCUAAAUGUUAAAACAAAACUUAAGGACCUUGUUGGCAGUUAUGGGUGUCUGUGAAAGCUCUUGGUGCAUGAGAGUGUUUGAAAGAAAAAUGUUUUAGCUUAGUUUAACACUAUGUUUUUAUUUGUCUGUUUAUUUAUUUUUUAAUUUCCAACAAACCGGUUGUUCGCAUUUAAAAAGACAUAAGAAUGUUUAUUGUGUUUUGAAAAGAAAGUAAGAUAUGAUAUAUAAAUUAAGUCUUUUUUAUUGAUUAACAUGGAAGAACCACAAUGCAUUUAUGAGGUUAUGUAUUUAUUGUGCUUCAUGUACUUACAGGUUACUGUAUACAUAUUCUAGAGAAAUGCAUAAACUCAACUGUUUUAAACAAUCUAAAGCAUUUAGUCUGUCAUUAAAAAUAUCUUAAACAGAAAAGUCUUUUCACGCUUCUAUUUUCACUUGUCCCAGGACUCUUACUAAAAACACUUGAGCGUGGACAUGAAUCCUACAUGAAAGCUAAAAAAAAUACUUUUUUAAACAGCAUGGUUAACAACACCAUUUGUAAAGUGAGAAAGAAAGUCUAAUCUGUUGUAAAAGUUCUGUGAGACAUUUGUAGCAACUUGUAUAAGAAGUACUUUUAGUUUAAAAGAAACCUUAUGACAACUCAUUUUCAAUCUAAUAUAGGUCUUUUUGUGUUGGUGACCUAGUUUGUUUGUUUGUAUAUUUAUGUACUUGUUUGAGUUUGGGUGUAUAUUUGUGUGUGUGGGUGUGUGUGUGUGUGUGGUUGUAUAUUUGUGUUUGUGUACUUGUCUGUAUUUUCCGUACGAGAUUGAAAGAUCUAGGGGUUAAUAAAAAUUAUAAAUGUAACUAAAAUAAACUAAAUUAACUCAAAUUAAACAACAUUUUCCUAUAUACCAUACUCUGACUUGUUAAAACAAUCAUAGAUCUCACAUCCUUUUGACCAGUAAAUGAACUUUCAGCUAACCUCAAGCUCACAGGUCUACGUCAUAAAUAGUUUAAAAUGUCAUCCUUUGAUUACUGAACACAAAAUGUUGAGCUUUAGCUGAUCCACAGCACCACCAUUUACAACAUCAGAACCCUCAAAACUAAUUAGUUUACAAUAGAGUUGCAAACCCCAAAAACCUUUAGAUGUUUUACAAUCGCUUCAAAAUACCUACACUGAUAUGGUUGCGCCAGUAAUCACACAGUCCCCAGACACCAGACGUCGUUCGCGUUUCAAUGCAUUACGUGAGACGAAAUAUUUAGCCUUUCGUGUAAUGUUGUAAAAGUUUAGUCUACGUCUAUUUCAACUGAUAACAAGUCUUAUGGCAAGAAAAUCCUAUCUUGAUUUUUCCAUAUUCAUUCCUGUUUAAUAUUUAAAAGUUUAGACCUUGUAGCCUACGUCAAUUUCAACUGAUAACAAGUUUUAUGGCAAGAAAAUCAAAGACUUUCCAAAACAUUUAAUUCCAGUAAGAUUUUGGUAUGCCUAUACACCUGUUUUAACUGAUAUAGCAUGCCAGAAGUUAAUAUUGACAAAAUAAAAGACAUAUUAAAGGAUAUAGGCUACUAAAUUAAAUGUGAGUGGCUAAUCAAAAUAAAAUAAAACAACACUUUUUUUCCAACAAGGACUUUUGUCAAGACGAAAAAAAAAAACGUAUAGGCUAACCUAAUUUUUAAGUAAAAAAAUCGGUCUAAUGUUAAAAACAGGUAGAAUGUUUUCAUCAAUUAAGAAUUGAUGUCGAUUUAUUAAAAACAUUACUUUGUUUAAUUAUUUUAACAUACAUUUAAAUCUAUCUUUGCGGCCUCCGGUGUUAGGGAGGCGUUAGGGGGACGGUUAGUGGGUGUGUUUGAGUGGGACUGGACGUAAGCAUUCUGAGUUUUGACAUAUGUUUUAACUAAUAUACUAUGUUAGAAGUUAAGAUUGACAAAAAAAGUAAAAGACUGAAUAAAGGAAAUAGGCUACUAAAUUAAGUGUAAAUAAUUAAACUUAAAUAAAACAAAACAAAACUGACAACAUUUUUCUGUGGCUUAGAGGUAAUUGUUUAGAAGAAAACUUGUAUAGACUAUCCUAAUUUUAGAGUAAAAAUGGUGGUCUAAUAAAACUGGUAGAAUGUUUUCUAUCAAUUAAGAAUUGCUGUCGAUUUAUUAAAAACGUUACUUUGUUUAAUUCUUUUAACAUACAUUUAAAUCUAUCUUUGUGGCCUCGGGUGUUAGGGAGGUGUUAGGGGGAGGGUUAGUGGGUGUGGUUUGAGUGGGACCGGACGUAAGCAUUCUGAGUUUGUCAGCUGUGCGUGAGGUUGGUCCGACGGAAAACUCUGUAAGCUUUGUUGGGGAUCUUUUUUUCCUUUGUUUAACUUUCUGUCAGUAACAAAGUCUAGAUUUUUAAAUUAUAGUUACAACAUAGAUUUUGACAAGCAUCUUGUGCUGGUGUUUUAACGACUGCAUCUGAUGCAUUUUCUUUUAGAUCAGUGUAAAUACACGGCUCUUUUUCUUUUGUUUAACUUUUUCUGCCGGCGUGACAAAACGCUAACUUUCCUGAUUUGAAACAUUGAAAAACUUUACGUUCGCUUCAUUUUGUUUUAGUUUGAGGUAAGAUAAAAAAUGCUACAAAACUCUGUAUUUUUCUUUUCUUUUCUAACUGGUAACAAACUCUAAAUAGUUUUUAAAUUGUAAUGUUACAAGCUUUGACUCUCCCUUGUUUAACGAACGUAUCUGUUACUUUUUUGUUUGUUUGUUUUAGAUAGAUAAUCAGUAACUUAGUUUUCUUUUUUAUUUAAUUUGUAACAAACUCUAAUUACUUUUUCAUUUGUUUUAACAACUCUUAAAUACGCACCUUGCACCGUUUUUAAUCUUUUCCCGGAAAAAAGUCAUUACAUUGUUUCUAUUUUGUGUAUGUUUUAACCUUUUUCUUGAAAUGCAUUAUGUAAAAACCUUAAUAAAAACCUCCCUUAUCCCGUUUAAUAUUCAUACCACAUUUCACAUUUUAAAGUUUAAAGCACAUAGUUUUUGAACAAUUUUCAACGGCCCCACACACAAAAACGCUUUUCCCCCAAUCAUAAAUUCCUUCAGAUGGUCACACACGGGUGUGGGGCUGUACAGGAAUGGGGUCCAAACAGAUGUCCAAACAGAUGUCUUUUAUGACCCUCAUCAAUCAAACUUUUUGAGAAAAGGGACCCUAUACUCUCUCUUGCACUUAAUUUAGACGAAUUAAAUUAUUUAGCCUGACAUGUUUACUGUUCCAAAUAUUUUUAAACAUACAUUUAAUAAUCACAUUUUUUUAGAGCUGUUAUCACAAUAACGUGAAACCCUGAUAUUUUUAUGUAAGGUUAUCAUACCAUCAGAAUCUCAUACCAGCCCAUGCGUAGUCUCAAGGUAUCCGAGACUGGCAUCCAGUGUGUCAGAUCCACCGCUGGUCUCGGCUAAAGCAGUGGGCAUUCCAAGUGCCUCAGCACGGUUAUUCCAGAGACUAUUCCCCUCCACUCAGUGCUCCCUGUAAUGGUGGGGUCUCUAUCCUUUGCGUUCGGGCAACUCACUGCUCCAUUACUCCUCCUGGGGGGUGUUCCAGCCUUUGAAUCUGCUCAUGAGGCCGCAACAGUUCCUGAUCUUACUCCAGAACCUCCAGAGGUGGUGGCACUCAUUUAUGAACUCUCUGCCUGUCCUGCCACGGCUAUGGAGGCCAUCUUUGAACUCUCUGAUUGUCCAGCCAUGGCUUAAUUUUUGGGUGAACUAUCCCUUUGAACACUGGGAAAAGGCAAGUAUUUGUUCUCCCACCGAAGCUUAAAGCGUUAGUUCACCCAUAAAUGAAAAUCAUGUCAUUAAUGACUCACCCUCAUGAAGUUCCAAACCCGUAAGACCUCC
ensembl:lncRNA